CAUUCGCUCAAAGGAGUACACCCAUGCCACGGAGGCCGGAUCGGGCAACAGGAAUUCGAGGAGGACGACAGCACCAGGAUCUCGGGGAGGUGAGCUCGAGGGCAUGACCCAUCUCCUCCAUGUCCUCACCCCGAACUCCAGCGCCCCAACUCCGACACCGCCUGCGAGUCAAAUCUCUGCGCGCCGCUGGCGAAAACUCCCCCUGCAUCUCGCGCCGCCACGACUAACCAUCUGUGCGCUGAACCAACUCGCCACCGGUAGCGGCCCCCUAUCGACGCGACUCCCUCGAGCUCCCUCCCGGUCGUGUCCCUCCAGAUAAGCAGCAACAUCGUCCUCCUGCCGCUGCAGCGGCGCAACGACAUGAGGUGUGGAGGGGAAGGGAUAUACAGGUGGAGGAGGGCGGUGGCGGCAAAGGCGGGGGAGGUUGAUGAUACCUGAAAUUCUUCGGAGUUCUUUCGAACCGAAAGAUCAGGAAAUAAGCUUGUGGUGACUUUGUGAGGUUUUCGCAUUGGACCGUUUGGAACUUCGGAUUGGCAGAGAGCUAGAGACCCCGGUGCUCUGAAGGAUGUUGAAUUUGAGAACAUAAUUUAUUGUUGUUAAGUAAUAUUUGCUUCUUUCAUAUGGAAAAGUUAGCGUUGUUGGGAGCUCAAUGUUGCAGUGGGCCUUGACAGUGCCAAGUUGGGAGCUGGCGAGGUAGAUGUCGUCCUUGACAAGGGCCGUGACCUCAUCUCCUUUGGCCCCAAGUCCGACUACCACCACAACCAGACAUGCUCCUCCAUAGGCCUUGGAUUACUGUCGGCUAUGAGAUGAAGUUCGGAGAAAGGAGCUAAAACUUGACUCACCAGAGAAUGGACAGAACUAGAGCAGGGCCAUUGUCAGCUUCUGUGUUGGUAGGGCGAUUCUUAGGCGCACCAAGAUACUGGUCCUGGACGAAGCCACUGCUUCGGUGGACAGUGCAACCGAUAACCUGAUCCAGAACACACUACAACAUCAUUUUUCCGGGUCAAUUGUCAUCACGACCGUGCAUCGAAUCACCUCGGUCCUUCUUAACGAUAUAGUCUAGAUUCUUGACAAUGGACUGGCUGUGGAAUCUGGAGCAACCAUGGCCAGCCAAGUUGUUGGAACACAAAUUUUCUCUGUUCUCAAAGCUUGUGGUGGAAUCCAUGAUGAGGUUGAUACACACUUGAGGCAGCAUCACAAAUGUUAUCAAAAUGAAAUUUUACCUUAUCCAAAUUGUGGUAUGCAAAUAUUAGAAAGGUACUAUCGACGCGUUUGGUUCGCCCUCAGGUUACUUCUUCGGUUAAGGUAUCGGGAAGCUCCGUUUUACCUUUUUGUUUUAGGAACACGUGAUCUGUUUGGUCUGGCCGUCCGACUCCUGUUUUCCUAAUCAACCGCAUGUGAGCGUUUUCAAUUUUGUGAACCCCGUAUCGGAAAGCACUGCUACGAAAUACGUGGUGUGCGUGUACCAAACGCCGGAUAUUGUUUCAGAAUGCACUGCAAUCGGGAACCGUUGCGAUUCUCCCGAACCAAAUGCGUGCCUCUCUGAUUCAUCGGAUGUGGUAUAGAAGCUGGCAUGUAAUAUGUGAAAUUUGUAUAGCUAGGCGCACCACCGGGCAUCGAAGGAUGUGCUGGCUCUUGACUUAUUUCUGCAGGCGGCGGCACACCAUGAACUAACUGGAGGAGCCAAACUGGAUUUGCAGGCUUCUGCAAAGUGCUAGCACCUAGAGAUGAUCUGAAUUUUCCUCUUGUAAAUGUCAUGAGGCAUGAGCCACAACCUCUUCAGAGAACAUUAAAACAAAACAUUGAUCCCCAUGUGGGUACACAAACAUUGUCCUUUUGAUUUAUUUUUCCAGUAGAUGAUUUUGGACCAUGUUUUUUUAA